rnacentral:rRNA from 1 species
AAUUAUGGAGAGUUUGAUCCUGGCUCAGAGUGAACGCUGGCGGCGUGCCUAACACAUGCAAGUCGAACGGUAACAGGAAGAAGCUUGCUUCUUUGCUGACGAGUGGCGCACGGGUGAGUAAGGUAUAGGUAACGUGCCCCCCAGAGAGGGAUAGCCACUGGAAACGGUGAUUAAUACCUCAUACUCCUUCUUAACACAAGUUAAGUUGGGAAAUGGGUUUCCGCUGGGGGAUCGGCCUAUAUGGUAUCAGGUAGUUGGUGGGGUAACGGCCUACCAAGCCAAUGACGCCUAGCUGGUUUGAGAGGAUGAUCAGCCACACUGGUACUGAGACACGGACCAGACUCCUACGGGAGGCAGCAGUGAGGAAUAUUGCACAAUGGAGGAAACUCUGAUGCAGCAACGCCGCGUGGAGGAUGACGCAUUUCGGUGUGUAAACUCCUUUUAUCAGGGAAGAAGAUGACGGUACCUGAUGAAUAAGCUCCGGCUAACUCCGUGCCAGCAGCCGCGGUAAUACGGGGGGAGCAAGCGUUACUCGGAAUCACUGGGCGUAAAGG